rnacentral:rRNA from 1 species
CUACACGACCGUACCGCAAACCGACACUGGUGCGCGAGAUGAGUAUUCUAAGGCGCUUGAGAGGACUCAGGAGAAGGAACUCGGCAAAUUGACACCGUAACUUCGGAAGAAGGUGUGCCCUAUUAGUGUGAAGCGAGCAGCGGAGCAUGAACGGGUUGCAAAAAAUCGGUGGCUGCGACUGUUUAUUAAAAACACAGCACUCUGCAAACACGAAAGUGGACGUAUAGGGUGUGACGCCUGCCCGGUGCUGGAAGAUUAAAUGAUGGGGUGCAAGCUCUUGAUUGAAGUCCCAGUAAACGGCGGCCGUAACAAUAACGGUCCUAAGGUAGCGAAAUUCCUUGUCGGGUAAGUUCCGACCUGCACGAAUGGCGUAACGAUGGCCACACUGUCUCCUCCUGAGACUCAGCGAAGUUGAAAUGUUUGUGAUGAUGCAAUCUCCCCGCGGAAAGACGGAAAGACCCCAUGAACCUUUACUGUAGCUUUGUAUUGGACUUUGAACAGAUCUGUGUAGGAUAGGUGGGAGGCUUUGAAGCCCGGUCGCUAGAUCGGGUGGAGCCAACGUUGAAAUACCACCCUGGUGUGUUUGAGGUUCUAACCUGGGCCCAUUAUCUGGAUCGGGGACAGUGCAUGGUAGGCAGUUUGACUGGGGCGGUCUCCUCCCAAAGCGUAACGGAGGAGUUCGAAGGUACGCUAGUUACGGUCGGACAUCGUGACGAUAGUGCAAUGGCAUAAGCGUGCUUAACUGCGAGACUGACAAGUCGAGCAGAUGCGAAAGCAGGACAUAGUGAUCCGGUGGUUCUGUAUGGAGGGGCCAUCGCUCAACGGAUAAAAGGUACUCUGGGGAUAACAGGCUGAUACCGCCCAAGAGUUCAUAUCGACGGCGGUGUUUGGCACCUCGAUGUCGGCUCAUCUCAUCCUGGGGCUGUAGCCGGUCCCAAGGGUAUGGCUGUUCGCCAUUUAAAGAGGUACGUGAGCUGGGUUUAAAACGUCGUGAGACAGUUUGGUCCCUAUCUUCCGUGGGCGCUGCAGAUUUGAGGAAGCCUGCUCCUAGUACGAGAGGACCGGAGUGGACACACCUCUGGUGUAUCGGUUGUCACGCCAGUGGCAUUGCCGAGUAGCUAAGUGUGGAAGAGAUAAACGCUGAAAGCAUCUAAGCGUGAAACUCGUUUCAAGAUGAGAUCUGCCGGGGCCUCGAGCCCCCUGAAGAGUCGUUCAAGACCAGGACGUUGAUAGGUCGGGUGUGGAAGCGCAGUAAUGCGUUAAGCUAACCGAUACUAAUUGCUCGUGCGGCUUGACC